GCAGGAUAGCUCGUGUGAAUCACCAGCUUCAGCUUAGGGAAAGCAGUCACCAGGCCGACCGAGUGUGAGUCUGUCCCAAGCCACAGCCAUUCUCCCUCUCCCCUUUCUAUGGGGCAGCACAAUAAAGAGGAGGAAGGUGGAAGUUCGGUUCUUCCUGCAGCACCCAGCCUGCCUGCAGGGGGUUCUCUUUGUCACUUCCUUCAUUAGCAGGCCUCGUCUCCACGACGCCCCUCAGACCCAGAGAACAACAACAUCAGCAAUGAGUGCCUAUCACAGGGCAGUAAGCAGCCGGUGGGGUGCCCAGCCAUCUUGUACCACGGCUCAGAGGAGGAGCUGAUGGCCAGCAUCGAGCGGGAGUACGGCUGCUGAGCUCCACGCGGGGCAUGGCUGGAACAGCAGAACUGCCAGCAGGAUAACGCAGUGCCUGGGAUGGUGAGGAGGUGUGCAAGGAGCAAGACCAGAAAAAUCACGCCUGGUGAAUCAGUAUCUGAAAGCUCCUUUUGAAAUGGUGUUUUUACUAGAUUUACUACAGCUUUGUUGAGAUGUGGUGCUUUGAGGGAAGACCACCUUUGCUUUGUCCUGGCAGGAAUGAAAUGCAGCAAAAUCAUUCCAUUUAGAUCUGACUUUGGGAGCGUGCUGUGAACUGCAGGAGGCUCCGAAGCAUUUCUGCUCCCUGACAGAAAAAACACUGCGUUGUAUCCCUAGGUGGUCCAAAGUAAAACAGAAGGGCUGGAUCUCUGGAGAAAAUCACAUUUUCUGGGCCCCUAACAGGGAAGCCUGGUGUUGUAAGGUUUCUGCCUUUGUUUUACCCGCAUCUUUAUGUAUUACGAGCAGCUAUUUCUUAUCAGAAGUAGAAAAAUACCUAAUUUCUGCCUUUAGCUGAAGCAUUCAAGAUAUCAGAUGAAAUAUAGCGUAUGUGAGCGCAAGAGGAAACAGCAGGGACACAUCUUAAGAUGCUGUAUUAUGACAUCUUCAUCAUUCCCGAUCUUUGUGAAAGAGAAAUAUAUGGAUCUGUAUUCUAUGUACCUUUCAAUAAAGGCAACAACAGUGGUUU
rnacentral:lncRNA from 7 species